GGGUUGUGAGGUUAAGCGACUAAGCGUACACGGUGGAUGCCCUGGCAGUCAGAGGCGAUGAAGGACGUGCUAAUCUGCGAUAAGCGUCGGUAAGGUGAUAUGAACCGUUAUAACCGGCGAUUUCCGAAUGGGGAAACCCAGUGUGAUUCGUCACACUAUCAUUAACUGAAUCCAUAGGUUAAUGAGGCGAACCGGGGGAACUGAAACAUCUAAGUACCCCGAGGAAAAGAAAUCAACCGAGAUUCCCCCAGUAGCGGCGAGCGAACGGGGAGCAGCCCAGAGCCUGAAUCAGUGUGUGUGUUAGUGGAAGCGUCUGGAAAGGCGCGCGAUACAGGGUGACAGCCCCGUACACAAAAAUGCACAUGCUGUGAGCUCGAUGAGUAGGGCGGGACACGUGGUAUCCUGUCUGAAUAUGGGGGGACCAUCCUCCAAGGCUAAAUACUCCUGACUGACCGAUAGUGAACCAGUACCGUGAGGGAAAGGCGAAAAGAACCCCGGCGAGGGGAGUGAAAAAGAACCUGAAACCGUGUACGUACAAGCAGUGGGAGCACGCUUAGGCGUGUGACUGCGUACCUUUUGUAUAAUGGGUCAGCGACUUAUAUUCUGUAGCAAGGUUAACCGAAUAGGGGAGCCGAAGGGAAACCGAGUCUUAACUGGGCGUUAAGUUGCAGGGUAUAGACCCGAAACCCGGUGAUCUAGCCAUGGGCAGGUUGAAGGUUGGGUAACACUAACUGGAGGACCGAACCGACUAAUGUUGAAAAAUUAGCGGAUGACUUGUGGCUGGGGGUGAAAGGCCAAUCAAACCGGGAGAUAGCUGGUUCUCCCCGAAAGCUAUUUAGGUAGCGCCUCGUGAAUUCAUCUCCGGGGGUAGAGCACUGUUUCGGCAAGGGGGUCAUCCCGACUUACCAACCCGAUGCAAACUGCGAAUACCGGAGAAUGUUAUCACGGGAGACACACGGCGGGUGCUAACGUCCGUCGUGAAGAGGGAAACAACCCAGACCGCCAGCUAAGGUCCCAAAGUCAUGGUUAAGUGGGAAACGAUGUGGGAAGGCCCAGACAGCCAGGAUGUUGGCUUAGAAGCAGCCAUCAUUUAAAGAAAGCGUAAUAGCUCACUGGUCGAGUCGGCCUGCGCGGAAGAUGUAACGGGGCUAAACCAUGCACCGAAGCUGCGGCAGCGACGCUUAUGCGUUGUUGGGUAGGGGAGCGUUCUGUAAGCCUGCGAAGGUGUGCUGUGAGGCAUGCUGGAGGUAUCAGAAGUGCGAAUGCUGACAUAAGUAACGAUAAAGCGGGUGAAAAGCCCGCUCGCCGGAAGACCAAGGGUUCCUGUCCAACGUUAAUCGGGGCAGGGUGAGUCGACCCCUAAGGCGAGGCCGAAAGGCGUAGUCGAUGGGAAACAGGUUAAUAUUCCUGUACUUGGUGUUACUGCGAAGGGGGGACGGAGAAGGCUAUGUUGGCCGGGCGACGGUUGUCCCGGUUUAAGCGUGUAGGCUGGUUUUCCAGGCAAAUCCGGAAAAUCAAGGCUGAGGCGUGAUGACGAGGCACUACGGUGCUGAAGCAACAAAUGCCCUGCUUCCAGGAAAAGCCUCUAAGCAUCAGGUAACAUCAAAUCGUACCCCAAACCGACACAGGUGGUCAGGUAGAGAAUACCAAGGCGCUUGAGAGAACUCGGGUGAAGGAACUAGGCAAAAUGGUGCCGUAACUUCGGGAGAAGGCACGCUGAUAUGUAGGUGAAGUCCCUCGCGGAUGGAGCUGAAAUCAGUCGAAGAUACCAGCUGGCUGCAACUGUUUAUUAAAAACACAGCACUGUGCAAACACGAAAGUGGACGUAUACGGUGUGACGCCUGCCCGGUGCCGGAAGGUUAAUUGAUGGGGUUAGCCGCAAGGCGAAGCUCUUGAUCGAAGCCCCGGUAAACGGCGGCCGUAACUAUAACGGUCCUAAGGUAGCGAAAUUCCUUGUCGGGUAAGUUCCGACCUGCACGAAUGGCGUAAUGAUGGCCAGGCUGUCUCCACCCGAGACUCAGUGAAAUUGAACUCGCUGUGAAGAUGCAGUGUACCCGCGGCAAGACGGAAAGACCCCGUGAACCUUUACUAUAGCUUGACACUGAACAUUGAGCCUUGAUGUGUAGGAUAGGUGGGAGGCUUUGAAGUGUGGACGCCAGUCUGCAUGGAGCCGACCUUGAAAUACCACCCUUUAAUGUUUGAUGUUCUAACGUUGACCCGUAAUCCGGGUUGCGGACAGUGUCUGGUGGGUAGUUUGACUGGGGCGGUCUCCUCCUAAAGAGUAACGGAGGAGCACGAAGGUUGGCUAAUCCUGGUCGGACAUCAGGAGGUUAGUGCAAUGGCAUAAGCCAGCUUGACUGCGAGCGUGACGGCGCGAGCAGGUGCGAAAGCAGGUCAUAGUGAUCCGGUGGUUCUGAAUGGAAGGGCCAUCGCUCAACGGAUAAAAGGUACUCCGGGGAUAACAGGCUGAUACCGCCCAAGAGUUCAUAUCGACGGCGGUGUUUGGCACCUCGAUGUCGGCUCAUCACAUCCUGGGGCUGAAGUAGGUCCCAAGGGUAUGGCUGUUCGCCAUUUAAAGUGGUACGCGAGCUGGGUUUAGAACGUCGUGAGACAGUUCGGUCCCUAUCUGCCGUGGGCGCUGGAGAACUGAGGGGGGCUGCUCCUAGUACGAGAGGACCGGAGUGGACGCAUCACUGGUGUUCGGGUUGUCAUGCCAAUGGCACUGCCCGGUAGCUAAAUGCGGAAGAGAUAAGUGCUGAAAGCAUCUAAGCACGAAACUUGCCCCGAGAUGAGUUCUCCCUGACUCCUUGAGAGUCCUGAAGGAACGUUGAAGACGACGACGUUGAUAGGCCGGGUGUGUAAGCGCAGCGAUGCGUUGAGCUAACCGGUACUAAUGAACCGUGAGGCUUAACCUUACAACGCCGAAGGUGUUU
rnacentral:rRNA from 1 species